rnacentral:misc_RNA from 1 species
GAUGAAGAACGCAGCGAAAUGCGAUACGUAAUGUGAAUUGCAGAAUUCAGUGAAUCAUCGAAUCUUUGAACGCACAUUGCGCCCGCCAGCACUCUGGCGGGCAUGCCUGUUCGAGCGUCAUUUCAACCAUCAAGCCCCAGGCUUGCGUUGGAGCCCUGCGGCUGCCGCAACCUCCUAAAAGCAGUGGCGGGCUCGCUAUCACACCGAGUGCAGUAGAUUACUCUUCGCUCAGGGCGUGCAGCGGGUUCCGGCCGUGAAACCCCCUACUUUUAAAGGUUGACCUCGGAUCAGGUAGGAAUACCCGCUGAACUUAAGCAUAUCAAUAAGCGGAGGA